rnacentral:rRNA from 1 species
UACGUAGGGGGCAAGCGUUGUCCGGAAUUAUUGGGCGUAAAGAGCGUGUAGGCGGCCAGAUAAGUCCGCUGUGAAAUCUCGAGGCUCAACUUCGAGCUGUCGGUGGAAACUAUCUGGCUAGAGUCCGGAAGAGGAGAAUGGAAUUCCUGGUGUAGCGGUGAAAUGCGUAGAUAUCAGGAGGAACACCGGUGGCGAAGGCGGCUCUCUGGACGGUGACUGACGCUGAGACGCGAAAGCGUGGGGAGCAAACAGG